rnacentral:ncRNA from 1 species
UUUCGAGAAAUUUGAUCUUUCUCCACUUAUCCUAAAACCUGAAUUAAGAUGAAUCUAUACUAAUUUUAGUAUAUAAUUUAUGUAUAAGAAAAAGUCUACAUUAUUUUUAUAUUGUUUUUACAUAUUAUAUGUAGUUUAUAUAUAAGAUUAAAAGAUAUGAAAAAAGGGGAUCACUCGUCGAGCAGGGACGAAAGUCGGCCUUAGUGGUCCGACGGUGCGAGUGGAAGGGUCGUCGCUCAACGAAUAAAAGUUACUCUAGGGAUAACAGGCUGAUCUUCCCCAAGAGUUCACAUCGACGGGAAGGUUUGGCACCUCGAUGUCGGGGGGCGGUAGUAUGUUCCAAGGGUUGGGUUGUUCGCCCAUUAAAGCGGUACGUGAGCUGGGUUCAGAACAUCGUGAGACAAUUCGAUCCAUAUUCGGUGCGGGCGUUAGAGCAUUGAGAGGACCUUUCCCUAGUACGAGAGGACCGGGAAGGAUGCAUCUCUGGUGUACCAGUUAUCAUGCCCACGGUAGACGCUGGGUAGCCAAUUGCAAAGCCUACUGAAAGCAUAUAAGUAAGAAGCCUAAAUUAAGAUGAAUCUAUACUAAUUUUAGUAUAUA